rnacentral:rRNA from 1 species
UACGAAGGGGGCUAGCGUUGCUCGGAAUGACUGGGCGUAAAGGGCGCGUAGGCGGUUCGUCCAGUCGGGCGUGAAAUUCCUGGGCUCAACCUGGGGGCUGCGUUCGAUACGUGCGGACUAGAGUGGGGAAGAGGGUCGUGGAAUUCCCAGUGUAGAGGUGAAAUUCGUAGAUAUUGGGAAGAACACCGGUGGCGAAGGCGGCGACCUGGUCCUUGACUGACGCUGAGGCGCGAAAGCGUGGGGAGCAAACAGG